rnacentral:rRNA from 1 species
GACGAACGCUGGCGGCGUGCUUAACACAUGCAAGUCGAACGGAAAGGCCCUGCUUGCAGGGUGCUCGAGUGGCGAACGGGUGAGUAACACGUGGGUGAUCUGCCCCUUACUUUGGGAUAAGCCUGGGAAACUGGGUCUAAUACUGGAUAGGACCAUGCUGUAGGUGGUGUGGUGGAAAGAUUAGUUUCGGUAAGGGAUGAGCUCGCGGCCUAUCAGCUUGUUGGUGGGGUAAUGGCCUACCAAGGCGUCGACGGGUAGCCGGCCUGAGAGGGUGGACGGCCACAUUGGGACUGAGAUACGGCCCAGACUCCUACGGGAGGCAGCAGUGGGGAAUAUUGCACAAUGGGCGCAAGCCUGAUGCAGCGACGCCGCGUGGGGGAUGACGGCCUUCGGGUUGUAAACUCCUUUCAGCCAUGACGAAGCCUUUGUGGUGACGGUAGUGGUAGAAGAAGCACCGGCUAACUACGUG